AUGCCCAAGUAUUUAAUGGGAAAGCUGCCUAUCUCACAGUUAAACAACUCCGCAUACUUUUCACAUUAUUUUCAUCCCCCCACGGUGAGGAUUUCACUUUUCUGGAAGUUCACUUUUAACCCACACAUCAUUUCAAACAGAUAUAGCAGCAACUUCAGGUUAACUGCCUUAUCGAUAUCAUCCUCCAAGCAAAUGAUGGCGUCAUCUGCGUACUGCAGAACAGACACCCCUUCAGGAAUAAGGUCAGAUGCCAGGCAUGUGAUCAACUUAUUUUUUUGGGCAUUUUUAAUCAUUUUGGUGAGGCAUUCCACAGCCAAAUUGAACAGAAAAGGAGAGUGGGGGUCGCCUUGGUGGACCCCCUUAGCACUUUGA
rnacentral:rRNA from 1 species